rnacentral:rRNA from 1 species
AGCGAACGCUGGCGGCAGGCCUAACACAUGCAAGUCGAACGAACUCUUCGGAGUUAGUGGCGGACGGGUGAGUAACACGUGGGAACGUGCCUUUAGGUUCGGAAUAACUCAGGGAAACUUGAGCUAAUACCGAAUGUGCCCUUCGGGGGAAAGAUUUAUCGCCUUUAGAGCGGCCCGCGUCUGAUUAGCUAGUUGGUGAGGGAAUGGCUCACCAAGGCGACGAUCAGUAGCUGGGCUGAGAGGAUGACCAGCCACAUUGGGACUGAGACACGGCCCAAACUCCGACGGGGGGCAGCAGUGGGGAAUCUUGCGCAAUGGGCGAAAGCCUGACGCAGCCAUGCCGCGUGGAUGAUGAAGGUCUUAGGAUUGUAAAAUCCUUCCACCGGUGAAGAUAAUGACUGUAGCCGGAGAAGAAGCCCCGGCUAACUUCGUGCCAGCCGCCGCUGUAAAAC